UUUAAAUGUAAAUUUUUGAACUAAAUUAGUAAUAGAUACGAUCUUCAAAUUUAAAGAUUUUGGCGGUAUUUUAGUCUAUUCAGAGGAACCUGUUCUGUAAUUGAUAGUCCACGAUUAACUUUACUUAAUUUUAAAAAUUUGUAUAUCGUUGUUUAUAGAAAAUUUUAUAAGAAAAAUAAUUUUUAGUAAAUUUUAUUAAAUUAUAAAUCAAAUCAAGGUGCAGUUUAUAGUUAAGGUAGAAAUGGGUUACAAUAAAUUUAUUUAUUAAUGGAUAUAAAUUUUAAAAUUUUAUUAAAGGUGGAUUUGAUAGUAAUAUUGUUCAAUUAAAUAAUAUGAUUAUAGCUCUAAAAUAUGU
rnacentral:rRNA from 2 species